rnacentral:rRNA from 1 species
GACAGAGGGUGCAAACGUUGUUCGGAAUUACUGGGCGUAAAGCGCGUGUAGGCGGCUUGGCAAGUCGGGUGUGAAAGCCCUGGGCUCAACCCAGGAAGUGCACUCGAAACUGCUUCGCUCGAGUAUCGGAGAGGAAAGCGGAAUUCUCGGUGUAGAGGUGAAAUUCGUAGAUAUCGAGAGGAACACCGGUGGCGAAGGCGGCAUCCUGGACCGAUACUGACGCUGAGGAGCGAAAGCCAGGGGAGCAAACGGG